CAAUAGCGUAUAUUAAAGUUGUUGCAGUUAAAAAGCUCGUAGUUGAAUUUUUGGCUUGAUGGGAUGGUUCUCUCGAAAGGGAGUGACUGUUUUUGUUGGGCCAAGAGUGUAUUGAAGCCAGGUGCACUUUGUUGUGUGCGUGGGGGAGGUACAGGUUCACUUUGAAAAAAUUAGAGUGUUUAAGGCAGGCGAAGCUUGAAUACAUUAGCAUGGAAUGAUAGAAUAGGUCUUUGACUUUAUUUUGUUGGUUUCUAGAGUUGAGGAAAUGAUUAAGAGGAACAGUCGGGGGCACUCGUAUUUCAUUGUCAGAGGUGAAAUUCUUGGAUUUAUGAAAGACGAACUUCUGCGAAAGCAUUUGCCAAGGAUGUUUNCAUUAA
rnacentral:rRNA from 1 species